GCUGCGCCCUCUGGCGACCAGGAGUCCCAGCCCUGCAUGCGAGUUCCUCGUGGGCGGUGCUCGCAGAAUGAUGCCUCGUCUGCGUGAAGUAACACGACGGGACGGAUGUAAAAUAAUGGCCAAGGUGUUUUUUAACCUUGAUCUACAAAUGGCCACAUAUUCCUUCCCACUCGACAAUCAGAUUUAAUUCAUCAAAGGUGUUUGCUCUUAACUGCUCCAGAAGACACAGUUUCAGCAGAGGGCUGCUACCCAUCAAAUACAGCGUGAUACCUGACACGUCAGCCUGGGACCUGGCUUUGCCAUUUGCUCAAGACAGAAGCCCAUGAUCUUCACAACCCUAUAGGGAUGAGGGAGUGAUGAAAGCAGACAGAUAUCAAGUCUCGGGAUAGAAGAACAGGUAAGCUCCUGAGAGUAGCUUUGGACAGUGUAUUUUUUACAAGCCUGUGUCAGCUCUAGGGUCUAAGAGGCUAGGAUCUGCUUCCUGAGCAUGGGUUAGUAUGAGCCUGAGGAAUUUGUCUACCCCCCAGUUAGACCCCAGUGGACUCAUGUGCCAAGCAGAGACAGUAACCGUUGACUAAAGAACAAAUGGGGUGCAUGGCGUGGAGAGGCUGUUGAGAGGCCGUCUCCUCGACCCUGUAGGCAGCAGGGAGAUGUGCUCUUACACAGUCUUGAAGGAAGGAAGAUGUAGGAGCUGAGAUGCUCCAAGCGAGUGGCUGACUGUACAUGUCCUCCUGAAGAGGGCACCUCUUAGAAAGGUCUCUCACUGCUAGGCCAGCCCCACAUAUCCAAGCCUACAUCUAAAGUGUGUCCUACAGCCAUGAUUAGUGACAGACAGGGCCCUCACCACAUGGUAUAAAAGCAGCUCCUGAGCCCAAGAGACUGCCCGGUUCCAAGAGGUUGGUUCCUGUAAACCUUCUUCAACAGACUAGAAUCAGGAGAAUGGAAAUUCAUCUGUGGGCUGUUACCCGAAUUUCUCUACCUAAACCCAAGGUAACAAGAGGCUAACAGAGCCUAGGGGUUUCAUGGGAAGGCUGUGGUGGAGUACCACCUCACCUAUUUCCAGGUGACUUGCAGACUGAGGGAAAGACAAAGGAAAAUGAAUUUAGGGAGAGAGAAGACUUGCUUCUACCUCUGAAUCACCUUAGAGAGAAUGCUCUUCUGCCCCACUGGGCAGCCAUAUAAUCUGUCUCACUGAACACUGACUACACACCGAAGCUCAGGUCUUUGGAGCCCCUGGACUGAUCAUUGACUCUCUUUGAACCUUAAUGUCCAAGUCUGUAAUUUACAAGAAAAGGUUGCUCUGAGGACAGCUGUGAGGGUCCAAGUAUCCUUCCCCAUGUACCAGCACUCGGCCUUCUCAGGAAGGCAGCAAGCAGAGUGGCCUGGGGCAGCAUCUGCACAGAUAAUAUGGCACCUGGAGACCGCAGGAUGCUCUUUCCCUCACCUUCUGGUUGUCAUAGAUAAGGACGUUUUUACUCAGGAAUGUUUGCUUCGUGCCCUGCAGGUGUCAGAAGCCCUGGUGGAGAGCACCUCCUCAUUACAAACACUGCCACUGAAAGAAAGCGGCUACAUGCACAGACCUGGCUCCUGCAACAAGUUGUCCUUCAACCUUCACCACUGCCCUUGCUGCACCACAAUGCAGUCUACACAGAUGAGGAACUUCAGCUUUGGCGAGAAUACAAAACUGGUUCAAGGUUAACUAGGUGGCUGGUAAAUCAGCAAGGCAGGGUUCCCAAGCUCCUGACUCUUUAGUUCCUUUUGCUCACUGAGUGAGAGACAGUGGGCUAAGCUUUGGGAGGACAGCUGGGCACAAGACAUGCCUGUUUCCCAGCUUCACUCUGCCAGGGAAGAGAGCCAUCCAAAUGGACUGCUUAAUUUGAGUGAGUGUCAAGUGCUACCGGGCAGAAAGUACAAGGCACUUUUAACCCACCUGGACCAUCUGAGAGCUCCUGGCAGGGAAUUACCCUGGGAAAAAGUAAGCACCCUAUGCAGAAGUACAGUUGGAGCCUAGA